CAUCUGGGCAGAGGGAUCCUCCUCUCAUCACCACCGAAUCAACCAGCUUGGAAGAGACCUCCAAGAUCACCCUCUCCAGCCUAUCACCUAGUCCUUAUUAAACUAACUAAACUGUGGCACUAAGCAGUCUCACUUGACACCAUUAUGCUUGCAAGCUGCAGUUCUCCAGGAAUGAACAAGAAGCAGUGCAAGCACAAGGAGAAGGAGAGCAAAGUGUGGCACUCCUGGCCACUGUGAGAAAUGGCCCCAGGAGGAAAAGAGAUGUUCUUCCUCAGGACAAUCAAGCAAUUGCUGCCUCCUGGAAAGGUCAAUGCUAUGUCCAAGGAAGCAUGAAGGAACUCAGCUGUAAUUGAAGCUGGCUAUCCCAAA